UUUUUUUUCUUUUGGUACAUAAUUCAGUGUUACCAGGUGUAGGUAAUAGGUGCCUACAAUAAAUGUAAUCUUUUUUAAACUGCAUAAAAAGCAGCAAAAAAACCUGGAAGAUUCCCAAGUAGUGCACCUGCCUUUCUCCUUCCCUUCCUACCUUUGUAUUCUUCGAUUUAUUUUGUAAUGAGAAGCCAUUGGUUUUAUAAUAGAAAAAAAGGUGGAGCGCUUUGUUUGUUUUUUCCCCUUCCUCCUCCUCUGAAUUCUCCCCAGGCGAUGCCGGGUCCCUAGGGCUCAUGUUGCCAAGCCUGGACCACCUGGGCCAAGUGGAGGCAGGCGGAGGGCAGACACUGUGCAGCUUCCAAGCUGAGCAGCAUCCCAGUGCCCUGCCCUGGGUUCCUUCCAAGGCCCUUACGGUAACUCCGAGAAGCGAGGCCCUCAUUAAAGCGGCCCUUAGACACAGAGACGCACAACCAGUGGCAAAAGGUCCCUUUCUAGCAGCGGGAGGCCACUGCCACCCAGAUAGAUGGGUCCCCAGCCUCAGCUGCUCCCCAAGUACAGGGUGGGUGGACUCCCCGGAUGGUCAUGCAUCGGUUCUUCGGUGAGAGAUCAUAAAGCUGCUGAGAAGCUCUGAAGAGCCAGAGGGUCCUUCUUCAUGCGUUCACCAUUAUUCAUUUGCGGGCUCUCUGCUAUGUACCAGGCACCUCCUGGCAGGGGGGAAUGGGUAAAUAAGACAGAGGCCUUAGGAGCUCAUGGAUGGAGGACUUUUAACCUGCAAUUACUCCAGAGUAAGAAAUGCCAUAAGGGGAAACUGGGUGCCAAACACAAUAUGGGCACAUAAGGAGGAGGGCCAGUUCUUGCAGGAUAAGCAGGAAUCACCAAAAAAUGGAAGAAAAGGACAUUGCAGUGGAGGGAAGCACAGAGGUGACUGCUCAGAGAUGGAAGUCAUUCUCUGGAAGCUUCAGGGAAACCAGCAGAGUCGAAGUGAAAUGUACAAGAGGAAAUGAGAAGAAGAGGGGAAAAGGGCAGGGUUGGAAUGCUCCCAGAACUUUCCCAGACUAUCCCAACCCUCAAUCAUUCCUGUACCUCUCUUGUGGAUUUUACCACAUCUAUGUCUCACCUGUAUUAUUUAAAAAAAUUUUUUUUCUCUUUUUUCUUUCUGGUCGUCCUAUAGCAUAUGUAGUUCCUGGGCUAAGGAUUAGAUCUGAGCCACAGUUGUGACCUACCCCGCAGCUAUGGCAAAGCUGGAUAUUUAACCCACUGUGCUGGGCUGGGAAUCAAACCUGCAUCCCAGCACGGCAGAGAUGCCUCCAAGCCCAUGGAGCCACAGGGGGAACUCCUAAAAAUAUUUUUUUAAUGACUUGCUUUUAAAACAUUCACUUCAAUAUACUAUCAAAGGAAAUUUGGCCUGGUUACCACGAAUAGAAAAUCAAUAAUGCUUGUGGUAAAUGGAAGCUAAUUGUAAAGACAAAUAGAAGAGUCUAAGGUAUUAAGUUCUACCUAGAACCUGGUGGGCCAAGCCUGAAACCUACAUUCUCUUUGUUCAAAAUGGAAGUUAGCAUGUGUUAGAGGCGAGAUAGAAAAAUGGAAGCUUUCUUCUGGACAAUCAGGAGGCUCAAAAGAGAAUCAGAAUGAGAGUACAUUUCUCACUCUCUGAUGCAAAUUUCCUUAAUGCCUAGAUGCUGGAUAGCACCUGAAACAUUCUCUCCUGCCACUAGAGGUGUGUGUCUGAAAAACACAGCCCUAGAGAAAGAGGCUCCAUGAGAGGGUGGUUGCAUUGCUGAAGAUGCAGUAAGAAAGAAUGGAGAGAAACCCAAAUCGGUCAACACAAACUCACCUUGAACUUUCUACACACCUGAAGCAAUGUCUCAGGCACUAACUUAUCAAAGCUGUGAGUGCAAGGGCCUAGAAACUGACUCCAUGCCUUUCCUGGGGUAACCAGAGAAGCUGAAAAUCCCUCGAGUUCUCUAGAAAUAGUCACUUC
rnacentral:lncRNA from 1 species